GACGAACGCUGGCGGCGUGCUUAACACAUGCAAGUCGAACGGAAAGGCCCCUUUGGGGGUACUCGAGUGGCGAACGGGUGGGUAACACGUGAGUAACCUGCCCUUGACUUCGGGAUAACUUCAGGAAACUGGGGCUAAUACCGGAUAGGAAUCCUUGCUGCAUGGUGGGGGUUGGAAAGCUUCGGCGGUUUUGGAUGGACUCGCGGCUUAUCAGCUUGUUGGUGGGGUAGUGGCUUACCAAGGCUUUGACGGGUAGCCGGCCUGAGAGGGCGACCGGCCACAUUGGGACUGAGAUACGGCCCAGACUCCUACGGGAGGCAGCAGUGGGGAAUAUUGCACAAUGGGCGGAAGCCUGAUGCAGCAACGCCGCGUGCGGGAUGACGGCCUUCGGGUUGUAAACCGCUUUCAGCAGGGGCGAAGCUUGUGGUGACGGUACCUGCAGAAGAAGCACCGGCUAACUACGUG
rnacentral:rRNA from 1 species